AUAAGAUUUUAAUUGAUGCUAAAAGAAUGGAAAUUUAAAAAAAAACUUUUUUAAAAAUAAAAAUUGAAUUUUUUUUAAUUUGUGCAAAAACAAUUAUAUUUAUUAAAGACCAGAAGACCCUAAGAAUUUAAGAUUUUACAAUUAAAAAGUUUUUUUUUAAAAUCUUGAUUGGGGGGAUCAAAAAAUAUUAAUAACUUUUUAAAAUUUAAAUUGAUCUAUUAUUAAUAAACUAAUGAAUUAAAUACUCUAGGGAUAACAGCGUAAUAAUUUUUGAUAGAUCUUAUUGACAAAAUAGUUUGCGACCUCGAUGUUGGAUUAGGAUUCUUUUUUAAUGAAAAAGUUAAAAAAAGAAGUUUGUUCAACUUUUAAAUUCCUACUUGAUCUGAGUUCAGACCGGA
rnacentral:rRNA from 1 species